rnacentral:lncRNA from 1 species
CACACCUACACCACUGCCCCGCCGGACGCCGCGGCCGUAGAGUACGCCAAGGACCACACGCAGGCGACUCCAGUGUCCACUUAUGCGGACUAUAAUUCCUACAUGCAGGCGGUGACUCAGUACUACUCGCAGCCUGCUACUGCCACCCAGGCCUAUGCCACCAAGGAGGUAGAUGUCUGCAAACCUCUCGGGGUGUCGCUCCAUCCGGUCAGUAACGGGGCCGCUCCUCCCCAGGCCGUCCUGCCUGCCGCCGCUG